AACGAACGCUGGCGGCAGGCUUAACACAUGCAAGUCGAGCGCGCCGCAAGGGGAGCGGCAGACGGGUGAGUAACGCGUGGGAACGUACCCUUUACUACGGAAUAGCUCCGGGAAACUGGAAUUAAUACCGUAUGUGCCCUUCGGGGGAAAGAUUUAUCGGUAAAGGAUCGGCCCGCGUUGGAUUAGCUAGUUGGUGGGGUAAAGGCCUACCAAGGCGACGAUCCAUAGCUGGUCUGAGAGGAUGAUCAGCCACAUUGGGACUGAGACACGGCCCAAACUCCUACGGGAGGCAGCAGUGGGGAAUAUUGGACAAUGGGCGCAAGCCUGAUCCAGCCAUGCCGCGUGAGUGAUGAAGGCCUUAGGGUUGUAAAGCUCUUUCACCGAUGAAGAUAAUGACGGUAGUCGGAGAAGAAGCCCCGGCUAACUUCGUGCCAGCAGCCGCAGUAACAC
rnacentral:rRNA from 1 species